AAACAAAUAACAAAAAACAAAAAACAGCUCAAUUCCUCAUGGCCAUUAUCCACAAAACUAAGCACCAUGCCCACUUGUGAGAAUUUACAAAAGAGCCCCUGGGGAAUUCAACUUGCUCUUCACACCAGUGGAGAACCUCUGGAAUUAGAAGCCAGGGUUAGAGGAUCUUAAUCAUCUCCGGGUUCCCCAACCACCCAUCACCAGCUGUGAGAACACGUCCCCGCCAGCAUUCAAAUGGGUGUGAAACAGUAUAUGGGCAGCAGCUGUCUCUCCUUGCCAAGGAGAGGAACAACAAAAGUUCGAAUAGUGCCGGAUUGGUUGGAACCAGCUCAUUAAAGCACCGUUAUGACUUACUGGAAUGGGGACAAGAUUGUUUGUCCAGAAAAUUAUGAGGACUACAACCCUAGGUCUGAAAAGAAGGUUUUGAAAGUAAAUCAUAUGCUACUAGCAGAAUGUUAGCAUCUUAAAAAUUCAAGCCGAUUCUUGGAUUUGAACCUCAAGAUGCCAGUUCCGAAUGAUUCAGAAACACAAGGGAUGGUUUCUGCCCAGCAAGCAAGGAUACCUAUUGGGAGGGGAAUCACAGAUCGUAAGAGUUAUGUUUUUGCUGUUUGUUUUUCUUUUUUAAAUUCAGAUGGAGCCAUCCAGUGAAGGUGUUAGUCGGACCUGAGUCUGACUAGAUCAGAAUCCUAAAGCUAGAACCCGAAAGUUCAAAGACCUUCCUGCCCCCCCUUCCCUCCUCCCACGCUGCACAAGCUCUUGCUGCAUCCCCACCUAUCCACUGCUACCUCAGGAUCUCCCUCUAGUCUGCUCCAUCCGAGUCUCCUGAAAAGCUGUAGGGUGCUGCCUUCCUCCCUGGGACAGAGAUGUUGGUUUCCAGUCUGCCCCUGCAAGAUUUUCUGCUUAGAACGUUUCCCCAGUUCACUCUCUGGCUGCCUUGUCAAUCUUUCCAAGGAUCUUCCUCCCUCCCCUUACCCUCUCAGUCGGAUUUCCCAACAGCCAAUGAUAUGGUGCACUGCCCGCUACCUCCAGUACCAGCUUGGUCUCUCAUCUCUGCCCCCGGCACAGCCAGGGCUCCAGGGUGCAGGCAGAAGAGGCUCUCUCCCCUCCUCCCCAGCCCCGUCUCAGGACAAAGACAAAGCUGCUGCCUGAGGAGGAGGCGUGUGUCACCCAUGAGCAUGGGGUGGAGCCUCAAGAGUUGGUCUUCGGAAGAAAGAAGCGGCCCGUAUUUCACAGGGAUGGUGUGA
rnacentral:lncRNA from 9 species